rnacentral:rRNA from 1 species
UACGUAGGGUGCGAGCGUUGUCCGGAAUUAUUGGGCGGUAAAGAGCUCGUAGGCGGUGUGUCACGUUCGGCCGUGAAAACCUGGGGCUUAACUCUGGGCGUGCGGUCGAUACGGGCAUCACUAGAGUUCGGCAGGGGAGACUGGAAUUCCUGGUGUAGCGGUGAAAUGCGCAGAUAUCAGGAGGAACACCGGUGGCGAAGGCGGGUCUCUGGGCAGUAACUGACGCUGAGGAGCGAA